rnacentral:rRNA from 1 species
UACGUAGGGUGCAAGCGUUGUCCGGAAUUAUUGGGCGUAAAGAGCUCGUAGGCGGUCUGUCGCGUCGGCUGUGAAAAACUCGGGGGCUCAACCCCCGAGCCUGCAGUCGAUACGGGCAGACUAGAGUGCUGUAGGGGAGACUGGAAUUCCUGGUGUAGCGGUGAAAUGCGCAGAUAUCAGGAGGAACACCGGUGGCGAAGGCGGGUCUCUGGGCAGUAACUGACGCUGAGGAGCGAAAGCGUGGGGGAGCGAACAGG